AGCUUGCUCUCGGGUGACGAGCGGCGGACGGGUGAGUAAUGUCUGGGAAACUGCCUGAUGGAGGGGGAUAACUACUGGAAACGGUAGCUAAUACCGCAUAACGUCGCAAGACCAAAGUGGGGGACCUUCGGGCCUCAUGCCAUCAGAUGUGCCCAGAUGGGAUUAGCUAGUAGGUGGGGUAACGGCUCACCUAGGCGACGAUCCCUAGCUGGUCUGAGAGGAUGACCAGCCACACUGGAACUGAGACACGGUCCAGACUCCUACGGGAGGCAGCAGUGGGGAAUAUUGCACAAUGGGCGCAAGCCUGAUGCAGCCAUGCCGCGUGUGUGAAGAAGGCCUUCGGGUUGUAAAGCACUUUCAGCGGGGAGGAAGGCGGUGAGGUUAAUAACCUCGUCGAUUGACGUUACCCGCAGAAGAAGCACCGGCUAACUCCGUGCCAGCAGCCGCGGUAAUACGGAGGGUGCAAGCGUUAAUCGGAAUUACUGGGCGUAAAGCGCACGCAGGCGGUCUGUCAAGUCGGAUGUGAAAUCCCCGGGCUCAACCUGGGAACUGCAUUCGAAACUGGCAGGCUAGAGUCUUGUAGAGGGGGGUAGAAUUCCAUGGUAA
rnacentral:rRNA from 1 species